ACAGCAGCCGCCGCGGGAAUACGUAGGUGGCAAGCGUUGUCCGGAAUUAUUGGGCGUAAAGGGCUCGCAGGCGGUUUCUUAAGUCUGAUGUGAAAGCCCCCGGCUCAACCGGGGAGGGUCAUUGGAAACUGGGAAACUUGAGUGCAGAAGAGGAGAGUGGAAUUCCACGUGUAGCGGUGAAAUGCGUAGAGAUGUGAAGGAACACCGGUGGCGAAGGCGACUCUCUGGUCUGUAACUGACGCUGAGGAGCGAAAGCGUGGGGAGCGAACAGGAUUAGAUACCCCCGUAGUCCCUGUCUCUUAUAC
rnacentral:rRNA from 1 species